UUGAAAAUUAGCAAUGCAUCACCAAAAAAAAAAUCCAAUACUGUAGUACAGUGAAUAAAAGUCAUGUAUCAACAGUCUUUACAACAUGGACAGUUAAACCUUUUGUAAUUUAAUUAAAACAACAAAAGAGAAAACAAGCAGAUUGAGAUGUCCUUCAACGAUGCUUGAUGACGUGGCAGCCGAGACAUGCAGCAUUCUAGGACGCAGCCUUAUUAAAAAUAUAAAAAAAUGGACGCAGCCUUAUUUAUUUUUAUUUUAUAUAUGUAUAAUGUACCCCCUGACUGAACUUGUAUUUCUUAUUAUUUAAAAAAAAUAUAUUAAAAAUAUUUUUAAAAGAACGCAGCUGUGCGUUUGAGAAACGACCGGAAACGACUUAUAUGUCGCGAGGCCAUCACGUGACCACAAUAUUUACCAGAAGACCGUUAUUUGCUCGAGUUCCCUCAACUUUUUUGUCGCAAAUAACAUUAUUAAUAACCUGUAAAUAAUAAAAUUUGUACACAUUACGUUCCUUUUUACGUUGUAAUAGUAUGUUUUUGGUUUAAUAGUCGGCUUUAAGUUAGUUUUUCUGUCAGUUUGAUCGUCAAAAUCUUGAAAGUUAUCUACAGCCACACAUCCACUGUAUACCAAGUUAUGAUGAUCAAUUAUGAGAAUGCAAAAUGAUUUAUAGAUCAGUAAACAAUCAACAAAAAGGUAAUGUCUUAAUUAAUAUAUUUCUGCUUUUGUUACUUAUUCAUGUAUUUGAAUUACAUCAUUCAAAAUCAAAUGUUAAUAAUUAUAGGGUUUCAACUUGUUGCAGCUUUACAAAAAAUGUAGAAUUUGUAGGAGCAUGGACAACUGAGUAACAAAGUCAUAUUAUGCAGAUGGGUGCUCAUGGUGGCCUCCAAAUAAAUACAUGGACAGGCUGCUAAAGAGGGUCAGGAUGAUGGAGAUGCAAGAGCCAAAGACAGCACGGACCAAACACCAGGCCAGAAUUCUGCAUGAGUCAGUUUCCAGCCUUUUUCACAAAGUUGCCGACAACUGGAAGAAUGUCCCAAAUUGCUGAAAAAAGAAAUUCAAUUGAGUAAUUUUCACUCUAGAGACCCUGGGGUGACCAACAAGGACGAAUGAAAAGUAAGUGACCUACAAAACAAAAAACAUUAAUAUUUUACGACUGUUUCAAGAUAAGUACUCUGCAUAUCUAUAGCAAUGGACUCUAUGCACGGCAGCGCUUGACGUGUUUCCGGUGAUAUCUCAGGAUGCUGGACUACUUCCGCCAGUCAUAGAGCGCUAUGUUAUUUUGGCUGUUUGGUUGCACAAACAGCCAAAAUAACACAGCAAAUUUUGUUGAUGCUUGUUUACUUUACAUAGAAAUAACUUAUACUCCACACUUAAUACCAUAAUGACAUUUAAACGUAUGAAAGUAUAUUUUUUAGGACCGAACUUCUAGCCACCACUGCUGUGUCAUAGCGUUUACAGCGACUCACUGGAAAGCAUGCCAACUUCUACACUGCUACCCUGUAUCUGCAUUACCAAUACUUUUAGAUAAAAAUUGCACUGAUAACAGUGCUAUUCAUCUGUUGUUGAUAAAUUGGUAUCAUGCCCGGAUUGGCCAUAGGGAGAACCGGGAGGAUUCCCGGUGGGCCGGUCUGUUUUUUUUGGCCACGAGGGCCGGUGUUGUCAUGCCACCGGGAUGACGCGUAUUUGCGGGUGAGAGAUGUCCCCGCCGCUUUAUGAUCAAGUUGAUUGUGUCCCGAGUCCCGACCACUUAUUGCAAGAAUUCUUGCAUUAGGGUGCAUUGACAUCUAAAACGCAUGGGAAACGCAGGACGUGCCGCUGUCUUCUGGUUUUCAAAGCGCUUACUUGAACACGAGUUUUGUUUCAGACGCGUCUAUAUUGAGUGCGCUUGCCGGCCGCGCGUCUAUAUUUAAAAUAAACUUGAGCGCGUCUUUUGAGUGCGCUUGCCGGCCGCGCGUCUAUUAUAUUUUAAAUAAACUUGAGCGCGUCUUUUGAGUGCGCUUGCCGGCCGCGCGUCUAUAUUUUAAAUAAACUUGAGCGCGUCUUAAUACAAACGGGCUGGCCUCUAAACGUAUUUUUUUUAUCCAAGUCAUAGAUGAAUUCUCUAUGAAUAGUCAUUAUUCAUUGUUUAUUGCAAGAGGAACAAAAAUCUAUUUGAUGCAAAACUCAUUAGUUUCAAAAGUAUAUCCAUGAUGUUUUCUUUUUUUAACACAAUGUAGGCCUACGUUAUUUAGCAAUAGACAUGAUCUAAGUACUAAAAAAAGAUACAGAUUAUUUCCAUUUGUUUCCAAUGCAUACUUGAUAAAUCUUGCUUGUGUAUUGUAUAUCAGGGGUUUCCAAACGUUAUCAACCCAACAGUUAAUCUCAAGACUCACCAUUUUUUAGAAAUAGAAAUAUAGAGGAAAAUACAAACACAUUUGUUUCCUUUAGUUUUUGAAUAAGUUUACUUUAGUAAUAUAUGGUCUUAUGGUAGGGCUGCAUAAUUAUGGCAAAAAUUAUAAUUGUUUACUGCAUUUGCACGGAAUAUGAAAUUAUAUAUUUGAAAAAUACAGUGAAUUGCAAGGCUGCAGAGAACAGUGCACUACUGCAGACUUAUACUACUGAGGGUUUAAAGAUAUUAUUUUAAUAGUCAGUCGUGAACUAAAGUGGGCCGGUCUAAGGCAUGAAACU